rnacentral:rRNA from 3 species
ACUUUCAACAACGGAUCUCUUGGUUCUGGCAUCGAUGAAGAACGCAGCGAAAUGCGAUAAGUAAUGUGAAUUGCAGAAUUCAGUGAAUCAUCGAAUCUUUGAACGCACAUUGCGCCCCCUGGUAUUCCGGGGGGCAUGCCUGUUCGAGCGUCAUUACAACCCUCAAGCUCU